UGUUACUUUAACACUUUUUGCACAGGUGGAGUGUCGCGUGAUUUUCACUGAUUCAAGGCGCGUAAACAUCAAAUUUUCGUCUGAUGUGGCGUCCCCAACGCCUUUCUUUAAUUCUUGGCCCUUAAUACUUUCAUGUCGAGCUUCUCCAAUUCUUCCAUGGCAUCUGUGGAUGAAGGUCGAUAUUGUAGGUGUGGUAAUGAAGCACUAUUAAAGACUUCAUGGACCCAAUUAAAUCCAGGGCGUAGAUUUUUUACUUGUAGAAUUUCAAAGAAAAUGGGUGGUUGUGACUAUUUUCUUUGGUAUGAAGAUCGACACCCUCCACAAGCAAACAGGGUAAUGUGGGGAUUGUUGAAGAAAGUCAAUGCUUUUGAUGAAAAAUUAAAGCA